AUACGGAGGGUGCAAGCGUUGUCCGGAUUCACUGGGUGUAAAGGGUGUGUAGGCGGGACUGUAAGUCAGAGGUGAAAGCCCACGGCUCAACCGUGGAAUUGCCUUUGAUACUGCAGUUCUUGAGUCUCGGAGGGGUCAUUGGAAUUCGUGGUGUAGCGGUGAAAUGCGUAGAUAUCACGAGGAACAUCAGAGGCGUAGGCGGAUGACUGGACGAGUACUGACGCUGAGGCACGAAAGCGUGGGGAGCAAACAGGAUUAGAUACCCCAGUAGUCC
rnacentral:rRNA from 1 species